rnacentral:lncRNA from 12 species
CUGCCUGUGCCACCGUCUUGAACUUCCAGGUCCCGGACCUGCGAGGACUGAAUGUUUUUGUUUAACUGCCUGCCCCCUCCCCAGCCUGUGGUAUUUUGUUACAGCAGCCCCAACAGACUGAGGCAGUCCACGUGGCUGAUUUGAACUCAGAUAAAAUCAGAGGUUUCCUGACAUGAUAUUCCUGUGACUUAGAAGCAGUCACAGACUUCUUUUUAAUUAAUUAAUUAAUUAUUAUUAUUAUUAUUAUUAUUAUUAUUUUUUUUGUAAAGGCUACAUUUAACUUGUUCUCCCUGCGUCUUGGUUUCUUUGCCUGGAAGGUGGAGGACUGGAUCUGUCUUCAAGCCGGGCCCUCUGAGGAUGAUGGUCCGUCCUUCCCAGGGCGAAACGGCCUUCCAGGGGCCUCUGAGUGUUCUAUCCCUUGGCCCCGAAUUGCUUACGUCUGUGUGGCCCGCGUGGCGCAGGCCCAGCCUCAGUUUCUCUGCCGCAGCUGGGGCUGCUCUCUUGUCUGCCAGCCACUGGCCUAGUCACAGAAAACCGGACCUGCCCCCCGGGGAGACAGCAGACCGUCGCUCCCAAAUCCACAAGGAGGACCGUACUGUGCCUGAGUCACAGGAAAGUACAAAUACUAAACCAUAUCAACGUCAUUCACUGAAAAGGGUAGAAAAAAUAUAAAAUCGAGACAACUUCAGGAAUUGAGCGUGCAGGAUCCCUGUCCUGCACAGCUUGGGCUGCCCUCGGCCUCUCUCUCUGCGUCUCUUCAGGGACGGCUGCCACUCCUUCUCUGGGUAGAAUCAACACACAUGGCCACAGAACUUUCCAGACUCACUGUCCUCUCAUCCUUCCUCCUGGGCUCCGUUUUUAAAUUCUCUGAGAUUUUCAUUUUCUCUGCUCGGAGUCCUCUCUUUUCUCCGAUACUAGAGAACUGGAGCCCUGGAAGCCAGUAGCUCAUGGAUGAAGAGUCCGAAUGAUCACAUUCGUCCCGUCUUAGAGACGCAGUGGGAGCCGUGGGCAGGGUGUGCGGCCCGGCGUGACUUCCACGGGCACCGCCUCCCACCGACUGUGGGCCGCUGUGUGUGCCGAGGUGCUCCCCUGCCACCUCGGGGGCCUGCUUCGACAGUUAAUGAGUUAGCUCUCAUUACGUGGGGUUAGCAAAUGUCACUAUUCUCUGACAGCCCAUCUCGGGGCCCCGGCUGUCAGCGUAGAUCUGCUCAGUAAACAUUUGCUGUUUGAAUAAAUGUGUCCUUCAUGCCA